UACGGAGGAGGCAAGCGUUAUCCGGAAUUAUUGGGCGUAAAGCGUCCGCAGGUGGCACCUCAAGUCUGCUGUCAAAGACCGGGGCUUAACCCCAGAAAGGCAGUGGAAACUGAAGUGCUAGAGUGCAGUAGGGGUAGAGGGAAUUCCCGGUGUAGCGGUGAAAUGCGUAGAGAUCGGGAAGAACAUCGGUGGCGAAAGCGCUCUGCUGGACUGCAACUGACACUCAGAGACGAAAGCUAGGGGAGCGAAUGGG
rnacentral:rRNA from 1 species